rnacentral:rRNA from 1 species
AUUGAACGCUGGCGGCAGGCCUAACACAUGCAAGUCGAACGAGUGGCGGACGGGUGAGUAAUGUGUGUGAAACUGCCCGUUGGAGGGGGGUAACUACUGGAAACGGUAGCUACUACCGCAUACCAUCGGAUGUGCCCCGAUGGGAUUAGCUAGUAGGUGGGGUAACGGCUCACCUAGGCGACGAUCCCUAGCUGGUCUGAGAGGAUGAGCAGCCACACUGGAACUGAGACACGGUCCAGACUCCUACGGGAGGCAGCAGUGGGGAAUAUUGGACAAUGGGCGAAAGCCUGAUGCAGCCAUGCCGCGUGUAUGAAGAAGGCCUUCGGGUUGUAAAGUACUUUCAGCGAGGAGGCGUUACUCACAGAAGAAGCACCGGCUAACUCCGUGCCAGCAGCCGCGGUAAUAC